AGUGAACGCUGGCGGUAGGCCUAACACAUGCAAGUCGAACGGCAGCACAGUAAGAGCUUGCUCUUACGGGUGGCGAGUGGCGGACGGGUGAGGAAUACAUCGGAAUCUACUUUUUCGUGGGGGAUAACGUAGGGAAACUUACGCUAAUACCGCAUACGACCUACGGGUGAAAGCAGGGGAUCUUCGGACCUUGCGCGAUUGAAUGAGCCGAUGUCGGAUUAGCUAGUUGGCGGGGUAAAGGCCCACCAAGGCGACGAUCCGUAGCUGGUCUGAGAGGAUGAUCAGCCACACUGGAAUUGAGACACGGUCCAGACUCCUACGGGAGGCAGCAGUGGGGAAUAUUGGACAAUGGGCGCAAGCCUGAUCCAGCCAUACCGCGUGGGCGAAGAAGGCCUUCGGGUUGUAAAGCCCUUUUGUUGGGAAAGAAAAGCAGUAGGUUAAUACCCCGCUGUUCUGACGGUACCCAAAGAAUAAGCACCGGCUAACUUCGUG
rnacentral:rRNA from 1 species